rnacentral:rRNA from 1 species
AAUCAACGCUGGCGGCGUGCCUCAGACAUGCAAGUCGAACGAUUAAAGCUCUCUUCGGAGAGUGCAUAGAGUGGCGCACGGGUGAGUAACACGUAAGUAAUCUACCCUCGAGUGGGGAAUAACAGUCGGAAACGACUGCUAAUACCGCAUAAUGCAGCGGCACCGCAAGGUGACAGUUGUUAAAGGAGCAAUCCGUUUGAGGAGGAGCUUGCGGCAGAUUAGCUAGUUGGUAAGGUAAUGGCUUACCAAGGCUACGAUCUGUAUCCGGUCUAAGGGGACGGUUGGACACACUGACACUGAAUAACGGGUCAGACUCCUACGGGAGGCAGCAGUCGGGAAUUUUGGGCAAUGGGCGAAAGCCUGACCCAGCAACGCCGCGUGAAGGAUGAAGUAUUUCGGUAUGUAAACUUCGAAAGAAUGGGAAGAAUAAAUGACGGUACCAUUUAUAAGCUCCGGCUAACUACGUGCCAGCCGCCGCCGUAACAC